rnacentral:misc_RNA from 1 species
AUGUGAUUGGGCAUUUUAUAGUAAACCAUGCAAGUUCAUUGACGCGCAGGAGAAAGUCUUUAAAAUCUGGUCUCUGGACCGGUAGUUCAGCUAUGAUUGGCAAGGAACUUAGCUCAUUUCUUGGAUCUUCAACAAAUGGUAGGGCAAACACAAACGAAUCUGCACCAGAUCCACUUCUAUCACCAUUUCUUGGCAGUGGAUCCCAUUCACACCCUCAAGGAAGCCAAGAAGAUGAAUCUUCCAAUAUAACUGCCCAUUUAAAAAGCACUGAGACACCUUCACUUGAUGGAGGUGAUGAGAUGGAUUCUGAAGAGAGAAGGCAUAGAGCAGCAUUUGUUCAAGAGUUGAUUUCCUCAACCAUCUUCUAAAGCUUUGUCAGUUUUCUGCGUGAUGCAAACGGUUGCACUACUCAUCGUUCACCACCUAUAAAUGAUGUUGCAUCUACAGACACUGGGGUUUUUAUUACUGGUGCAUGGAUUUAGGAAAGCUAAACAUCGUGGAGUGGAUGGUGAAUGGCUAAGUCGGGAAUCAAAUACAUCUUGUAUUUAAUGUCUCUACAUAUAUGUAGCCUCUUAAAAACUAGCUUUAGC